rnacentral:rRNA from 1 species
GCUAUAAUGUAUAUGAAUUUACUGAUAAAUGGAUAUCUGUGGUAAAUCUAGAGCUAAUACAUGCAUAAAAACCUUUUUGUUUUAACAAAUUGGUUAAAUUAUCGUUUCAAAACUAACGGGUUCGCCCUGUUUUGUUAACUCAUGAUAAUUAAUGACCGUUCUUUAAUGAAUGGAUAUUCAUAUUUGGUAUCUGCCCUAUCAACUAUAUGACAGUCUAUUGUACGGUCAUGGUUGUGCCGGGUAACGGAGAAUUAGGGUUCGUCUCCGGAGAGAAUGCCUUAGAAACGGCUUUCACUUCCAAGGAAGGCAGCAGGCGCGAAAAUUACCCAUUCUCAGAACGAGGAGGUAGUGACGUGAAAUGACAAGCUUUAAUUCUUACGAAUUGAAGCAUUGGAAUGGUUGAAUUUUAAAAUCAUUCAAGAUUAUCAAUGAGAGGGCAAGUCUGGUGCCAGCAGCCGCGGUAAUUCCAGCUCUCAUACUACAUUGAACUGCUGUUGCGGUUAAAAAGUUCGUAGUUGCAAAUGUACAUAUAAAUGUGGUUUAUCAUUUUAUUAUGGUAUAACUGCAUUUUGUGUUAUUUAUAUUUUCUUUACGGAAAAUAUAAUGAUACCCUGAGUAAAGCAAAGUGCUCAGAACAAGCUAUUGCUUGUAUGUUUUUGCUGGGAAUAUCAAACGAAUACAUUAGUUGACGUUUGUUGGUUUAACAGCUAUGUAAUGAUUAAUAGGGAUAAACGGGGGCAAACGUAUCGCAGGGGGAGAGGUGAAAUUCGUUGAUCCUUGCGAGACGGCCUAUAGCGAAAGCAUUUGCCAAGAAUGUUUUCUUUAAUCAAGAACGAAAGUCAGAGGUUCG